rnacentral:rRNA from 1 species
GCUAAUAUUGUCAGCUAAGUGGCGCACGGGUGAGUAAUAUAUAGUUAAUCUGCCCCAAAGAAGAGAAUAAUUGUUGGAAACGACUUGUAAUGCUCUAUAUGCCUUUAUUACAUAAGUAAGCAAGGGAAACAUUUAUGGCUUUGGGAUGAGACUGUACGGUAUCAGUUAGUUGGUGAGGUAAUGGCUCACCAAGACAAUGACGCCUAACUGGUUUGAGAGGAUGAUCAGUCACACUGGAACUGAGACACGGUCCAGACUCCUACGGGAGGCAGCAGUGGGGAAUAUUGCACAAUGGAGGAAACUCUGAUGCAGCAACGCCGCGUGGAGGAUGACACAUUUCGGUGCGUAAACUCCUUUUAUAUGAGAAGAUAAUGACGGUAUCAUAUGAAUAAGCACCGGCUAACUCCGUGCCAGCAGCCGCGGUAAUACGGGGGGUGCAAGCGUUACUCGGAAUCACUGGGCGUAAAGAGCAUGUAGGCUGGUUUGUAAGUUGGAAGUGAAAUCCUAUGGCUUAACCAUAGAACUGCUUCCAAAACUGCAGACCUAGAAU